rnacentral:rRNA from 1 species
AUUGAACGCUGGCGGCAUGCUUUAUACAUGCAAGUCGGACGGGUGGCGGACGGGUGAGUAAUAUAUCGGCACGUACCGAGUAAUGGGGGCUAACUAAUCGAACGAUUAGCUAAUACCGCUUAUUAUUCUUGCGGCCGUUAUCUGAUUAGCUACUUGGUGGGGUAUAGGCCUACCAAGGCGAAGAUCAGUAGCGGGUCUGAGAGGCUUAUCGGCCACACUGGGACUGAGACACGGCCCAGACGCCUACGGGAGGCAGCAGUAGGGAAUUUUGGGCAAUGGGCGCAAGCCUGAUCCAGCCAUGCCGCGUGACUGAAGAAGGCCUUCGGGUUGUAAAGGACUUUUGUCAGGGAAGCGGUACCUAAAGAGUAAGCACCGGCUAAAUACGUGCCAGCAGCCGCGGUAAUUC